UUUAACUUUGCCUAUAAAAGGCAGUCAUUUCAACCUUGUUGAAGGGGGGAGAGCAUUACAGAUCUGAAAAAUUCCUUCUAAAGUAUUCUCCAAGUUUCCCAACUGAAAUUUGAAUUUCAAAACUCCAAAUCUUCAAAAACCAAAAAAAAUAGUAAAGCAUCACAGAACACUCCAAAAAAAGACUGUUUCUUUGAAAGUUUUUUAAGUUUGGUUGCAAGCUAGUUUAAUCCGAGUUCCCUAGUAUCUCUAGAUUCAAUUUCAAGUCAUUUUGGGUUUUGUUCAAGCUGUUCGGUUUAUUUUUGGUUACUGAAAUCUCAAAAGCAGUCAUGGUUUUAAUUGCAAGCUUACUGGGUUCGAUUGAAUUUGUUUCUUCAUUGGUGUUACCCCAUCUUCCUCCACCUCUGGUUUAUUGAGGUUGUUUAAGCUCGAAUCUGACCCUGUGCUGGUUGGAUUUUAAUUGUUGUUGCUUGCUCAUUACUGCUGCUGAUACUCCAUUUUCUGAAUUUUCAAUACUCUUCCAGGUACACUUUCUGGUUCCAAGCUGAUGUAGAUCUCAAAGUUGAAGGAAUGAAAUAAAGUUGUCACCUAGUUUUAUUGCAAAUUUUAGUUGUUUCACACUGUAUGAUGCUUACUUGUAAUGGAUUUGGACUAUAAUAGACUGUGAAUUUUUUGGCUAUGUUUGUCUAUUUAGACAUUAGUUUAGUCUACCUUAGUUAAAUGCUUGUAUUAGUUUAGUGUUAAAACAGGAAGUGUGAUAAACUUAGAUUAACUUCAGUAAUCUAGUUCUAAAAGCAGAAAAUAGGCGUCUUAGUUUGACAUUUGGGCUGUUUGCCGUCAGUUUGUCAUCGUAGUCGUGUAAUGGUUGUGAUUUGCAUAAUUAAUUGAUAAUGAAAUAGCAUCGGUUUAGACCUAAAACGUUAAAUGCAUAGGAAAUGGUAAACUUAGGUCAAUAAAUGAAAUAGUGUUUAAUUCGUCAAGGUUGAUUGUUUAAAUUCAAUAUUUCAACUCAGUUAGUAAUUACUUUAGUUCAAUCAUGGAUUCUAAAGUAAUAUAGCAAUCCAUUAAUCUGAAUAUGGGAAUUUGAAUUUAAUACAUAGUACUUGUUGAUUUGGAAUGUGGUUGCAUUGUUUUAUUGUUAUAAAGGAUCAUGGAGUACAGUACUAAUGUGACCCAGUAGCUAUGAAAUUUGGUUAAGGUGGAUUAGUUUGGGCCUGCUCUAACAUUUUAAGUGGGCCUCGGCACUUUUUUAAGGCAUGGAACAGAUCCAGGUGUAGUUCAUUUCACAUUCAGGCCUGGGCAAAGGCUUGCGUUUGGCCAACUUAACGCCAAACUAGAUACCAUCUCUUUUGGAUUGGUUUCUGAAGCCCAAGCGUUUUCAAAUAUUUAACUGAUUGGAAAUGUUAAGUUAAUUAGGGUCUUUUCUUCUUUUUAGAGACAAUACAUAAUAGAAAAUUGUAGUUGCUUUAGGUUGCCCUUUUAAAAUAAAAAUGAGGUGCGCCGCGCUAAACAAAAUCUUACAUUGCGUGUCCCUCUUAAUCAAGUUAAAUUUAUUUUAGACCUCGGGACGUGCCGUUUAGUAAAUUCCAUGGCCUCUCACAAAGAUAAUAAUACGCUAGUCACCUUAGGACCGUCAUUUAAUAAUAUUACCUUCUUAAAAUUGGGUGCGCAUUUAUGUGACCCAAAUCCGAAUCUCAACGGAAUCGAAAUGUGUCAACCACCACGGGUGCAUUGAUGUGACGUGGUUCGAGACGCAUUUUCACGAUGUUGCAAUUCUCAUUAAAAAUAAAUAUGAAAGCGGUUUACAAUUAAAAAGCACAUAACCUAGAACAUGUUUUGAAAUCAGAUAAAAUCAAACAUGACAGUUAAGUGACCGUGCUAGAACCACGGAACUCGGGAAUGCCUAACACUUUCUCCCGGGUUAACAGAAUUCCUUACUCGGAUUUCUGGUUCGUGGACUGUUAACAGAGUCAUAUCUUUCCUCGGUUCGGGAUUCAACCGGUGACUUGGGACACCAUUAAUCUCCCAAGUGGCGACUCUGAACAAAUAAUAAUAAAUCCCGUUUCGAUUGUCCUUUAAUUGAAAAAACUCCUUUAUGCCCUCACGGGUGUAGUGAAAAAGGAGGUGUGACAGGUUUUGUUUUUAGAAUCGUAAUCAUGUCACACAAACGUGUCCAUAAUAUAUAUUAGACGGGCCUAGAGCAACUACGAGCAUUUGUCAUUUUUAUAUCUAAGUCAUAAGAAAUUAAUACGAGGGCCAUGUAUGAUUAAAUCGUGGAUGACACACCUCGAACUAUAUAAACUAAAUUUAAUUUAGCGGCCUAAUAAAAUAAUUUUAUUAUUAAGCAAAGUUUGACCGAAGUUGCACGAACGCGUACUCUGAAUUGGUUUAUAGAAUUGUAAUUAUAUCACGCGAACGUGUAUACAAUCACAAUAGUAUUUUAAACACGCCUAAAGGCUUUUCUACGAAUAUUCAUUUUUAAUAUCUAAAUUAAAAGAUUAGUGAGGGCCAUAAACGAUUUAAUUAAUACUGCACACCUCCUACUUAGAGAAUUAUAUCUAAUUAAGGAAAAUCUAAUGAUGUUUCUAUACAACUAUUAGGUGAAGGAAAGGGGAAUGGGUGCUCAUAAGGGACUUUUAAUUACUCACACCUAUUCUAGUUUGGGGCUUAAAGCCAAAACUAAUCGAAAGAAGAACUAGGCCUAAGAUCAGGCCCAAAAGGAAGACCAAGCGGACUGUUACUUCUUUCCGAAUGGGCCAACAAAUCCAAGCCCACUGCACUACUUGAAAGAGGCCGCUUAAAACACACACUGAGGGGCAGCUGGGCUCUAGAUCGAACCCAAAUGAAAGAAGGGAGAUAACCUGGGACGAACAAGACUGGCCACAGCCCCGGUUGCCCAAUUUGGGCCAAUUCCAAAACUCCAAAUGUUGGGCAGUGGUGAAUCAAACGCUCAGGCCCUAAUGAGGCCCAGAUAACUACAACACACACAAUAGCAUAAUAAACAAGUUUUGAGAAUCACAACACCAAAAUAACCAUAUUAUGGACUUUUAAAUCAUUGUUACUAUUCAUACUAACAACAUGAUAAUAGAUUAUGAAACUACUCAUUAAUCUUACAAUGACUCAAAUAAGCAUGAUAUUAAUCUCAACAAGAGGUCAAUUUCUGAAAUUCACUCAAGGAUUAAUGUCACGACCCAAAUUCCAACAUCCGAAUCGUGAUGGCGCCGGACACCGCUGUCAGGAAAGUCAACCAUAAAUGCUUAAUUUAAUUCUUAUCUUAAUAAUUUUUGAAAACUGAAAAUUUCCUUCAAUUCAGUUAGUAAAAGAUAAUAUUUGCAGAAAAAUAAAAAAAAGAAUGUUGGAAGUAAAUACAGAAUACCCCGUAAUCAUCCCAGAACCCGGUGUCACAAGUACACGAGCAAUUUUUAGGAAAUAAUGUAAUACAACAACCGUCCGGAAUACAAUAUUAGACAGAAAGUAAUUACAAUAAUCUGAAAGAGACUCUGCUGGCUGUGGGUCGUCUCGAGAAGUGCAACUCACCUAAGUCUCCGUAUCAACCAUGCUGUUACGCCCACUAGGCCACUAGAGAUGCAGGUGCCUAUGCAACAAAAAUGCACAGCAAGUGUAGUAUGAGUACGAAAACAACAUGUACCCAACGAGUAUCUCAUCUAAUCUCGAAGAAGUAGAGACGAGAGGUCGGCUUCGACACUUACUAGUGGUCCAAUAAUAAUAUUUGCAAAAAUGGGAGGUGAGCAUGGAUUUUAUAAAGCAAUUAUAAAGUUAUAAAGUUGGAUAGCAUGUAAACAACUUCUCAAAUAAUAAAGGAUUUCCAAGGAUUUACUUUUCAUUACCUUUAUCAAUUUAUCACUGGCCAGGAAGGGCAAUUAUCAACAUUUAUAAAUCUCAAACAGCAAUCCAAGCAUGCGUAUAUCAUGACGAGGUUGUAUGGCCCGAUCCAACAUAAAUGUAAAAUGUGCAUUGCCGAGGGUCGAACGGCCCGAACCGUAGAUGCAUCUAUUACCCCGCUCGCGAAUCAUACAUGCGACGCGGUCAACAUAAAUAAACAAACACCAUGCUCGUGAAUCAUACAUGCGACGUAGGUACACAUAGAAAUACAUGCUCAAACAACAAAUUAAGAAUUUAUCGGGGAACGAUUAUCCAAAUAAAAGCCUAUUCUCUUUUAGCGAUUUAAGAAAAUGAACUUUAAUCCUUUUAGAAAUUCAUUUACCAAUUCGAUAAGAUUUAAGCAGUUCAACUGCCAACAAGAUUACAGAUAUUCCAAGUAUAACAUGUUUUUGUGUCCUAGACUACCCAGACUUACAUAUAAAAGUAGUUACGCACGGACUCUCAUCACCUCGUGCGUACGUAGCCCCCAUAAAUAGAAGCACAUAACCAAUUAUUUCACCUAUGGGGACAAUUCCCUCUUACAAGGUUAGAAAGGAGACUCACCUCGCUCCGAAUAACCACAACCGACAUUCCACACCCUUCCGGAGACUCGAAUCGAUGCUAAAUGCUCCAAAACUAGCCAAUAAUUAUGCAAAUCCAUUAGUAUAUGUGUAAUUACUCAUUACAAUCCGAUUUAUAAAAAUUCCUAAUCCCGAUCGAAAAUUUGACUAAAUCGCCAUCGGGCCCACAUGUCCGGAUUCCGGAAUUUUUUGAAGAUAAAGUUUACCCAUAACCUCACGAACUCAAAUAUGUAAUUUACUUUUAAUUUCAUGCCCAAAAUCGUGGUCAAAAACCAAGAAUACCAAUUUUCUAGGUUUUCCCUCAAACCCCAAGUUUUCUACAAAUUUUCAUGCUCAAAUCCAUAUACAAUCAUGUAUUUUCAAAACUAGCAUAAACCACUUACCUCAUGGUUGGUGGUGAAAAUGGCACCUCAAAGUUGCUCCAAAAUCGGUUCCAAUGGAAGAAAUGGGGUUGAAAUGAACCCAACCCCCGAUUUAAAAGAACCUUACUGCCUCCAGCAAUUCCGCACUUGCGGUCACACAACCGCUUCUGCGAUUCCACAGGUGCGGCCUCUCUACUGCUCCUGUGGUUUCUCUCCGGGCUCCCCUUUCCGCUUCUAUGCCUCAAUUCCCGCAGGUGCGGUCCCGCUUCUGCGGCGAAAUGACCGCAUCUGCGGUCCUUACACUUCCAGCCCAAAAAUGCAUCUGCGACUCUCCUGGACGCUUCUGCGGCUCCGCACCUGCGGCCCAAGCCUCACAGGUACGGUUACACCAGAAGACAGCUGUUGCACUUCCUCUUCCAAAUUUCCAAAAUUGAUCUGUUAACCAUCCGGAAUCAACCCGAGGCCCCCGAAACCCCAACCAAUCAUACCAACCAGUCCCAAAACACAUUAUGGACUUGCUCGAGGCCUCAAAUCAUAUCAAACAACGCUAAAAUCAUGAAUCAACCCCCAAUCCAAGCUUAAGGAACUUUAGAAUUUCAACUUCUACAUUCGAUGACGAAACCUAUCAAAUCACAUCUGAUUGAUCUUUAAAUUUUGCACACAAGUCAUAUUUGACAUUACGGACCUACUCCAACUUCCGGAAUUGGAUUCCGACCCCGAUAUCAAAAAGUCCACUUCCUGUCAAACUUUUAAAAAACCUUCAAAUUUAUAUGUUUAGCCAAAUGACUCCAAAAUGACCUACGGACCUCCGAAUUCAUUUCCGAUCAUGCUCCCAAUACCAGAAUUACCAUACGGAGCUAUUCCCAGACUUGGAAUCUCUAACGGACAUCAAUAACACUGAAAUGCACUUCAACCCAAACUUAUGGAAUUCUUCCAAAAAUGUUAACAUCUGCAAUAGGUGCCGAAACGCUCUCGGAUCUUCCAAAACCCGACUCGGACAUAUGCCCAAGUUCGAAAUCAUCAUACGAGCCUGCUGGAACCUUCGAAUCCUGAAUCCAAGGUCAUUUACUCAAAAAUCCAACCUUAGUCAAUUCUUUCAACUUAAAGCUUCUAAAAUGAGAAUUCUCUUUCCAAUCAACUCCGAACUUCCUGGAAUUCAAUCUCGACCGUGCGCACAAGUCAUAAUACCUGAAGUGAAGCUGCUUAUGGCCUCAAACUGCGGAACGACGUGCUAGAGCUCAAAACGACCGGUCGGGUUGUUACAUUCUCUCCCACUUAAACAUACGUUUGUCCUCGAACGUGCUGAGAACUACACUGAAAUAGUAUGAAAUCACUGUUUAACACCUCGUGCACUUACUCGUGCUACCACAACUCAGUUGAGCACAUUAGCUUGAUCAAUUCUGAAGAUAUUCCCUUUUAUUCAAGAAAAUAAUCCUUAGAGCCUAAUUCCAACAUCCGAAAUUCUAUGCCAUGCAUGUUUCCAACAUACGUUCACCGUAUCAAUAACUACACACAACACCAAAACAUGACUGCAUACCUUAGUCGAAUUCGCACCUUGCACCACUUUACUCACAGGACCACAAUAACAUUGUCUGAUCAAAUUAGUCAAAAUUCUACGAAUCUGAUGCUCCCAAUGCACCUCAUGAUAUAUAUAAGUCGUGAUAUAACUCUUACAAUACCGCUACGACAGAAGAUCUGUGUAGAAAUUCAUAACCAACUGCCGAAUCAACAAUUCAUUGGGUCUAUACUCUUGACAGGAACCAUCACCUCAUUCUAAACCAAAUAAUGGUCUUUGCUCCUUAAUAUACUUCAUAUAAUCAGAUUGCAGUAAUCCUAAAUCCAAUGAUCUCGUCUCACCUAGUACGAACUGCUCAGGCAAUAAGCCACCCCGGACAUGAUCAAAAGUCUCAUAUGAUGCCAUAAUGUGCCAAUAGGCUACCAAUUCGAACAUGAUACAUAAAGGAAAUGGACUCUGAAAAGGAAAUCCAAUUACCCCGCUCGCAAAUCAUACAUGCAAUGUGGUCAACAUAAUUGAACAAACACCCCGCUUGUGAAUCAUACAUGCGAUGCAGGCACACAACUAAUAUGAGUGUUCCUCAGAAAAAUAGGAAACAAAAUGCAUAAAAACAGAUAUAGGGAGUUGUACUCAACAUCACACUCUUGCGGCGCGCAACCUGAUCCAGACAACAUACCCAUGGUGGCGUACCACCCGAUCUACCCAUAAAAUUCACAUAAGGAGAUACACACCGAGCCAGAUUGCUCAUUACAACAAAAUACCGAAUGUCGGUCACAAGUACACUAAGUGCAUAAUACCAUCCCUGGGGAGACAUAGCAUUAUAAGCUACAAACUCAAACACAACUGAGGUGCGAUAUACGAUAUGGAUCUCAAGAGUCAUUCUGCUCAUAUAACAUCAUCUCUACGUGGAACCUCAACACAUAAGAAAUAUACCAAGCCGUCUCACAACUCACACGGUGUAAUAUAUCAUUACAUGAAAUAGCUGACGACGAAAUAACACCCCGAUUACUCUUUCAUAAGUAGCGCAUUGUUGAAAUGAAUACAUCUGGCCUGAUAUAGAGUCAUAUUCACAUUUAAAUCCAUCCACAGACCUCAAGCUGAUUCUGAUCACGCUAAACUAAGCUAAUAACCUUUCAAAGGUCCAUAAUAACUCCGUUUUUCUCAUAAUACACAAGAACAACCAUCAUAACCGGAGUAAUCCUCCACAGUCCACAACCUAAUAAACCAAGUGCCCUUCAGGCAUAAAUUCUCAAUUUAACGACAUCACUACAAUCUUCAUACUUAGUUUAACUCUUCAAUCAAUCAAGUGACUCCAUGUCACACUUAUACAACCUUCCCGUGGGGCACACUCCCACAACCUUCCGUAACAGAUAAUUGGUCUGUACAUCAAAACCGUCGGCCGCACUAACGCUGAAAAACGAUCAAGAAUCCUUAACCAAGAUGCAAAGCCUUUUUCACAAAGCACCGAUCUCAGGUGACGCUGAAGACAAUACCAACUUACUUUAGAUAUCAAAACUCCUUUCCUGAUCAUUUCACCUCGUGACAUCCUUGUCAACACCGAACUGCAACCUUGAUCCUCACUUCAAAUUCCAUACCACCCGCUGCACCCAACAUGCCAAUAUACGAUAGAACACGAUUUUCAUCAUAACUCCGGAACCACUAAUAGAUUAACACUUCAUCAUAUAAAAAAAAUCACUUAACUCACUUCAGGAGAACCAUAGCAACACACAGGUGAAUCUUCAUAACCAUAGAAUAUGUAAAUCUCUAAGUGGUGGUCUAAGCCACCAUAGCCCUUCCGGGAUCCGCCUACACAUAACAGGCCAUAACAGUAGAAUACUUAUGAAUAACAUCAACUACGGCGGCCGACAAGCCUCACACGUACCAUCACAAAUCACUUGCAUAAAUUGAUCACGCUGCAGGAAUUGAUCACUACACCAAUAAGCUAAUUCAACUAUGGCUAACCAAUCUAUCGCCUCCCAAUUUAUCAUUGAUUGCCUUAGAAAUAAUAAUAACUCCAUUCGACACAUAACACACUCCAUCUGCACUCAUCCCGAGUGACCUUGAAUCACAAGACCAUGCUGCCUCCAAUCCCACGAACCAUUUCAUACCUCCCUUAUGAGCACAUUCGCAUCCUCAACUAACAUGCCCAUUCUGAUAAUCCCUCUACGAACCCAAAGUAUUUUCUCAUUUUCCUCCCAAAUGCUGCACUACAAGUCAAAAUAUCAUAGAACAUCCUGGGCCUCUUCUCAUAAGCUGCUACAAAUGCUUGCUUCUUAACCGUACCUAUAGGCUCGCAAUCAUUAGGCACUAUACUUUACCCCUUUGAAUCCACUAGGACCAUUGUUGAGAGCUACCCGCUCUGACUUGGCCCUGAUUAUAAUAAACUCCAUGAAUCUUCUAGCACAUGAAUACCCUCUCGACGAAGCACCUGGCCGAAUCACUUCCCUUGAAACCUACAUCUAUACAAGGCAUAAAUCUUGAAUCCUUUCCCAAGUCUGAACAUGAGCCAACAAGGCCUACCAUAGCACACCUUUAACAAUCCCUUUGCUCAAAUUACCACUUAUGUUCCUUUCCCGUAGCUGAAAUAACCCAUCAAUAUGCUACUAACCAGAAACCUCGUAAGUAGUUAACCAUGCAACCCAAUCAUAGGCGGUGGGACUCUCCCACUAAGCUUGAAGCCACUAUUACGCACCUCUGGGAUUCACCAGGAUUCUCUAUCUCUUAUUGACAUAACCUUGCGCAAUCAACCGCCAAAAUUCUCGGAAUCUUUCCGUAAAACCCCUUUUUAUACUCUGAAUCAUCAACCACAUUUGCACGACCGAUCUCUUUGUUGUAUAACCCAUAGAAUUCUUUGCAGAAACUUUGCCAACCAUGCGACCGCCAAUCUGCUCACUGGAGAUAACCCACCUGUGGAAUUUAUGUGCCGACAUCUUCCAACGGUGCUGCACGGGAUACAAUCACUACGAUAUCAAUAACCCAUCCUGAGUCUGAGCUCACUCUCUAGCUACACAAGUCCAUCCACCUCUCGUGGUCAUCAAUUAAAUGUGCAGCAACAUCCAUCUAAUUCAAAGUUAUGUUGUAUCCUUCUACAUUUCAAUCAGCUCCUUUCCGUUAUACGAAAUCUCUUGUCGCAUAAUAGCCCAUACUUCAAUUUAAAUUCGUAGACCCAAUCAACAAUCACUAAAAUUCCCAAAUCAUUCCAAACUCUCAUUAAGAUGCGUAGUCAUCCUACCACAAGACCCACAUGCAACUCCGCCACUCUCCCACUUUGGCGGAACUCACCCCUUUAAUCAACUACUCGACCUUCGCUUCUUAUACUUGGCCUUCUAGAAAUUUUAACCACCACGUGAGACUCCCCACAUAUCCUUCCUCAUCCUUUGUUGCUCAGUUGUUGCCUUAAAUAAAAUCUAUCUUUGUAGCACUUGAACACACAAAUUGCUACUAACUUUAAACCUUUCUGAAAAUCAUGUUUCUCGAGCCGUCAAUAUUAGAAACACCUAUUCAAUCCUGAACCACCACACCCCAUGAUCUCUGACAGUCAUUUCUCCAAUAUUAUUCCACAAUAGCCUCCCCCAAAGGCGGGUUGAAGAAAACCAUAAUACCGGCGAUCUUAACAUAUUCAAUUACGGACGGCGACACAACUUAGUAGAUGAAAAUCCCAUCACACUUGAAAUCACCAAGCCUUGUUACUUCAUCACUCUAAAUCUGGACAUCCCUAGGCCAAUUGUUUUUCCUCUGCCAGAAAUGAAUUGUCAGAUGUCUGAAUCGUGCACUAAGUAGACUUCUUUUCAAAUCAUUCACUGCCCCAACAAAUAGGCAAGUAUCCUACUAUCAAAUCAAUACUAUGCGAUAACCAAUCAUGAGCAUCAUAGAAAUCUGUGCAUGGCCUCAAAGCUCUCAGGAAUACUAUUACUGAACUAAAAUGACAAGAUAUCCUUCCGCAAGGCAACGACAAUAGCCCAACCAACUUUACCGGUAGAAACAUCCCGUACCACAUCUGUAGUAUCAUUACAAUUCUUCAAUUCUUGAUUUAUAACAAGCAGCUCGCAUCACGUAAGAUUGAGUAGGAAGGAAACAAGGGCAUAAGCCUCAAGGAAUCAAAUUGCACGAUGAGGAAUCAAGAAGGGCAGUGCUCCUAACAGUCUUGUAACCUCUCGAAGAUAAGUAUAGACGUCUCUAUACCGAUCUGCAAGAUUCUACUAGACUUGCUCAUGACUCGUGAGACCUAAGGGAACCUAGUGCUCUGAUACCAUGUUGUCACGGCCCAAAUUCCAACAUCCGGGUCAUGAUGGUGCCGGACACCGCUGUCAGGCAAGCCAACCAUAAAUGCUUAAUUUAAUUCUUAUCUUAAUAAUUUUGAAAACUAAAAAUUUCCUUCAAUUCAGCUAGUAAAAGAUAAUCUUUGCGGAAAAAUAAAUAAAAGAAUGUUGGAAGUAAAUACAGAAUACCCGGUAAUCAUCCCAGAACCUGGUGUCACAAGUACACGAGCAAUUUCUAGGAAAUAAUGUAAUACAACAACCGUCCAGAAUACAACAUUGGAUAGAAAGUAAUUACAAUAAUCUGAAAGAGACUCUGCUGGCUGCGGGUCGUCUCGAAAAGUGCAACUCACCUAAGUCUCUGUAUCAACCAUGCUACUAUGCCCUCUAGGCCACUAGAGAUGCAGGUGCUUGUGCAACAAAAAUGCACAGCAAGUGUAGUAUGAGUACCAAAAUAACGUGUACCCGAUGAGUAUCCUGUCUAAUCUCGAAGAAGUAGAGAUGAGAGGUCGACUUCGACACUUACUAGUGGUCCAAUAAUAAUAUUUGUAAAACAAUGGGAGGUGGUCAUGGAUUUUAUAAAGAAAUUAUAAACUCAUAAAGCCGAAUUGCAGGUAAACAACUUCUCAAAUAAUAAAGGAUUUCCAAGGAUUUACUUUUCAUUACCUUUAUUAAUUUAUCACUAGCCAGGAAGGGCAAUUAUUAACAUUUACAAAUCUCAAGCAUCAAUCCAAGCAUGCGCAUAUCAUGUCGAGGUCGUACGACCCGAUCCAACAUAAAUGUAAAAUGUGCACUACCGAGGGUCGAACGACCCAAACCAUAGAUGCAUCUAUUACCCCGCUCGCGAAUCAUACAUGUGACGCAGUUAACAUAAAUAAACAAACACCCUGCUCGCGAAUCAUACAUGCGACGUAGGUACACAUAGAAAUACAUGCUCAAACAGCAAAUUAAGAAAUUAUCGGGAAACGUUUAUCCAAAUAAAAGCCUAUUCUCUUUUAGCGAUUUAAGAAAAUGAACUUUAAUCCUUUUAGAAAUCCAUUUACCAAUUCGAUAAGAUUUAAGCAGUUCAACUGCCAACAAGAUUACAGAUAUUCCAAGUAUAGCAUGUUUUUGGGUUCUACACUACCCGAACUUACAUAUAAAAGUAGCUACGCAUGGACUCUCGUCACCUCGUGAGUACGUAGCCCCCACAAAUAGAAUCACAUAACCAAUUAUUUCACUUAUGGGGAUAAUUCCCUCUUAUAAGGUUAGAAAGGAGACUCACCUUGCUCUAAAGAUCCACAACCGGCAUUCCACGCCCUUCCGGAGACUCGAAUCGAUGCUAAAUGCUCUCAAACUAGCCAAUAAUUAUGCAAAUCCAUUAGUAUAUGUUCAAUUACUCAUUACAAUCCGGUUUAUAAAAUUUCUAAUCCCGAUCGAAAAGUUGACAAAAUUGCCUUCAGGCCCACGUGCUCGGAUUCUGAAAUUUUUCGAAGAUAAAGUUUACUCAUAACCUUACGAACUCAAAUAUGUAAUUUACUUUUAAUUUCAUGCCCAAAAUCGUGGUCAAAAUCCAAGAAUACCAAUUUUUUAGGUUUUUCCUCCAACCCCAAGUUUUCCACAAAUUUUCAUGCUCAAAUCCAUAUACAAUAAUGUAUUUAAUUCAAAACUAGCAUAAACCACUUACCUCAUGCUUGUUGGUGAAAAUGACACCUCAAAGUUGCUCCAAAAUCGGCUCUAAUGGAAGAAAUGGGGUUGAAAUUAACCCAACCCCCGAUUUAAAAGAACCUUACUGCCUCUAGCAAUUUCGCACCUACGGUCACACAACUACUUCUGCGGUUCCGCAGGUGCGGCCCCUCUACUGCUCCUGCAGUUUCUUUCCGGGCUCUACUUUCCGCUUUUGCGCCUCAAUUCCCGCAGGUACGGUCCAGCUUCUGCGGCGAGAUGACCGCAUCUGCGGUCCUUACACUUCUAGCCCAAAAACGCAUUUGCGGCUCUCCUGGCCGCUUUUGCGGCUCCUCACCUGCGGCCCAAGCCUCGCAGGUGCGGUUACACCAGAAGACAACUGCUGCACUUCCUCUUCCAAAUUUCCAAAAUUGAUCCGUUAACCAUCCGGAAUCCACCCAAGGCCCCCGGAACCCCAACCAAUCAUACCAACCAGUCCCUAAAUACAUUACGGACUUGCUUGAGGCCUCAAAUCAUAUCAAACAAUGCUAAAAUCAUGAAUCGACCCCCAAUCUAAGCUUAAGGACUUUAGAAUUUGAAACUUCUACAUUUGAUGACGAAAUUUAUCAAAUCACGUCCGAUUGACCUCAAAUUUUGCAAACAAGUCAUAUUUAACAUUACGGACCUACUCCAACUUCCGGAAUUGGAUUCCGACCCCGAUAUCAAAAAGUCCACUUCAGUUCAAACUUCUCAAAAACCUUCAAGUUUCUAUCUUUAGCCAAAUGACUCCAAAAUGACCUACAGACCUCCGAAUUCACUUCCGAUCACGCUACCAAUACCAGAAUCACCAUAUGAGCUAUUCCCAGACUCGGAAUCUCAAACGGACAUUGAUAACAUUGAAAUGCACUUCAACCCAAGCUUAUGGAAUUCUUCUAAAAAUGCUAACUUCUGCAAUAAGUGCCUAAACUCUCCCGGGUCUUCCAAAACCCGAUCCGGACAUACACCCAAGUCCGAAAUCAUCAUACGAACCUGCUGGAACCUUCGAAUAUCGAAUCCAAAGUCGUUUACUCAAAAAUCCAACCUUAGUCAAUUCUUUCAACUUAAAGCUUCCAAAAUGAGAAUUCUCUUUCCAAAUCAACUCCAAAAUUUCUGGAAUUCAAUUCCGACCGUGCGCACAAGUCAUAAUACCUGAAGUGAAGCUGCUCAUGGCCUCAAACUGCAGAAUGACGCGCUAGAGCUCAAAAUGACCGGUCGGGUCAUUACAAUUAACAUUAGAUCUACACCCAUCAACAUGCUUAACAAUACAAACACAUGAAUUUACAUUCGACAAACCUUUGAAAAACAGCCCCAAAUAAUUACAAUUACUAAGUAUAGCAAAUUGUUAACCACUUAUGAAUGAGCUAAAACAACCUAAAUGCUUAAACCAUCCACAUAUACUAAGUCAGCGUUGAUAGUAUUUAAGCAAAGCUAAAGCAGCAUCAUGAGCAAUAGAAAAGAAGCAUUUAGCCAAAUGAAUAAGAGAGUCCCAUUCCAAAUCAGCAAGUUACAAGCCCAUUUUAUUACUUCAAGCUCAUGAACAUACCUGGCACAACAAAAAAACAGCCAUAGAACUUCAGCAAGGAAAUAGAAAUAUCAGCAGCUCUUAGACAGCAGUAAUCAGUAACUAUCAACCAGCUAUAACCAUGUUUUGAAUCCAGACAAAUAGUAGUGUAUUCAAGCUUUUAAAAACCAAGAAAUAUGAAAACCAGCUGUAAUGGAACAGUGUUUGCGAUUUUUUUGUGUUUUUCUUUCUAAUUUUUCAAACUCUAUCAGUGUGUGUAUUCUUCAGUCGUUUGCUAUUUUCAGGUAUUCUAAUCUCUGCCUGAAACUAAAGGAAGUAAACCUUUUUAUAGUCAGAAUUUCGGGUAGCAAACUUAAUUUUAUUCAUUCACUACCCUCCCCUCUUCAAUUCUCUUUUUGUUCAUUUCCAAACCUUUAAACCUAUUUGCUAAAUCAGCCUACUCCCCACUUUCCUAGAACCUUCCUAGACAAUUAGGAAAGAUUCACAUCCUCCAAAUGACCAAAACAACCCUUGACACCCCUGUAUUUACCUCCCAAACUGAAUCACACAUGGGUCAAAUUUGACCCAAGACCCAACCCUAAAUGAACGAGCCUCUUUAAACCGGGUCAAAGAUGACCAAGAAGCCUAAUCAACCAAAGUGACCAAAACCAAAAUCAACUUCAGUGAUUGUGAAAAGAAGAAAAAAGAAGAAAGUCCUGAAUUAAAUGAUUUCAAAAUCAGCAAUAUAGCUAAGUAAAGCAAUUUAUGAAACUAAUCUAAAUAGACUAGGAUUAACCCAAAUUAAUAAACCGAAACAAAACCUAAUUACACCUAAUUCGAAGAUUGAAACAAGAAUGAUUCUCAGAUGAACACAAGCAAUCUGACAAGUUAUGGGGUGUGAUUUUUGGCAGGUUUAGAGGAGUUUGAGUGGUGGCCGCCGACUAAGGGUUCAAAGUCGACGGUCUCUAGGGUUUCCUGAUAGAGAGAGAUGAAAGAGUGGGAGGGGUUCGAAUGGGGGGGUAGUCAUUUUAGGACAGUUAAAUACUCAUGAAUAAUAAGUUCCGAGCCGUUGGAUCAUUGAAAUCCAAUGGCUGAGAUGAAAAGCCAUGAAAACGGGGUCGUUUUGGUCAAUACGGGACUGGACCGGGUUGGGCAGGGGACUUGGACGGGUUUGUGAGAAAAAGGAUUGGGCUUUAGGGUGAAAGGGACUUGGGAUUCAGCAACUAGCCCAAUAAACAACAGCCUUCUAAUUCCUAUUUUCCUUUUCUUUUCAUUUGUACUCUUUUUUUCUUUUAAUUAAUUAAAACACCUAAAUUAAAUUCCUAAAAAUGAUUAAUUUACAAAAUUAAGUUAAUUAUCUACCAUAAUAUUUAUAAAAAUUAAUUACUCCCAAAUUAAAAAAAAAAAGAAAUUACUAAUUCAAAACUAAAAGGCUAAAAUUGCAAAAACAAGCCAAUUUUUGUGAUUUUCAUCCUUUUAAUAAAGCAACUAAUUUACUAAUUAACCUUAAAAAUGUAAAAAUAAAUCCUAAAUGCAAUGCAUGUUAUUUUUGACAUUUUCAUGAUUUUUAACAGAAAUAAACAUGCACAGAAAUGCAAACAAUUAGCACAUAUUCUCACAAAAUCCUAUAAAAUUGUAAAAUUAAAAAAAUUAUUUUUCUUGUAUUUUAAAGGAGUAAUUCCUAUAGGGCAAAAAUCACAUGCUCAUAGAUGUGACGACCCGGCCAGUCGUCUCAUGAGUUACCGCUUCAUUUUCCCCCAUUUUCUGUUUCUUAUUGCUUUGUCUAUCGAUUCUAUAUGUGAUCGGGUUGGUUGACUCGGGUUCAGAAAGGAUUUGGUAAGGUUUGAGACAGUCUCUUUUGAAGAAGCUUAAGUUGGAAAAGUCAAUCAGAUAUUGACUUAUGUAUUAGAGGGUUCGGAUGUGAGUUUCGAUGGUUCGGUUAGCUUCGGGAGGUGAUUUGGGACUUAAGAGAGUGAUCGGAAUGAGUUUUGGAGGUUUGGAGUAGAUUUAGGCUUGAAUUGGCGAAGCUGAUCUUUUAUCGAUUUUUGAUCGGUAGGCGAGAUUUUGAUAUAAGGAUUAGAAUGGAAUUCCAAGAGUUGCAGUAGUUCCGUUGUAUCAUUUGGGAUGUGUGUGCAAAAUUUCAGGUCAUUCGGACGUGGUUUGGUUGGGUUUUUUAUCAAAAGCGGAAUUUGAAAGAUUUUGGAAACUAGGCUUGAAUUCAAUGUGUUUUGGUUGAUUUGAUAUUGUUUGAGGUGUUUUGAAGAUUGGUACAAGUUUGAAUAAGGUUAUGGGAUAUGGUUGUGCUUUUGGUUCUGAUCCCAGGGGCCUCGGGGUGAUUUCGGAUGGUUGACGGAGGAGUUUGUGAUUUUGUGAAGUUGCAGAUUUUUCUAGUUCUGGUAUUUCUAAACCUGCGGAUUGGGGACCGGAGGUGCGACGCCGCAUAUGUAGGAAAAUGGUCGCAGAAGCGGAAGCUGGGAAGUAGGCAGGAAACCGCAUAAACGGUUACGAGGACCGCACCUAUGAUGUCGCAGAUGUGGGUAUGGGAUCGCAGAUGCGGAUUAUGGGAAGUUAAGUGAAGAACCACAGAAGCGGUUGGUUGACCGCAAAUGAGGUACCGCAGAAGCGGAAUAUUGGCCGCAGAUGCGAAAAUUCCUGGGCCAGAAGUUAUAAAUUAUGUCCUUCGCAAUUUUUGAGCUAUUUCACCAUUUUUUAGUCGGCUUUGGAGCUCUUUGGACGAUUUUGAAGAGGGAUUUCAAGGGAACUUCAUUGAGGUAAGAAUUUUGGACCCUAAAACUCGUUCCUAUGGUAUUAUUUCACGGAUUAGAGCUAUAAUUAAUGGAAUUUAAGGGUUAAAAUUGGGGAAAACUAGGGCUUGGUAUUGGAGACCUAGACUUGGGGGUUUGAGAGACCUAUUGUGGUCGGAUUUUGGUACUUUUGAUAUGUAUGAACUCGUGAUGAGAUAAGGAAUCCAUUGAUGUAAAUUUUAUCGAAUUUUGAGAUGUGGGCCCAGGGGUCGGGUUUUGGUAAUUUCGAGAUUUGUGUCGUAUAUUAAUUAUUUUCGCUUGGGCUUCGUUCCCUUAGCAUAUUUUGACGUUGUGAUUCUGAUUUUGGAUAGAUUCGAUACGAGUGGAGGCCGAUUCGAGGGGCAAAGGUGUCGCAGGAUAGAGAUUUGACCGGAUUGAGGUGAGUAAUGAUUGUAAAUGAUGUUCUGAGGGUAUGAAACCCUGGAUUGCACAUCGUUGUGCUAUAUUGAGACGCACACGUUUGAUGACAAGCGUGGGGUCGUGCACUGUUGGGGAUUGUGACUUAGUCCAUCCCGAAUAACUAUUUUACCGCGUAUUUAACUAAAAUCUAUUUAUUAUCAUCAUUGUUUGGGCUAAAUGCCAUAUUUAGGCCUCGUGCCAACUAUUUGAACCAUUCGGGGAUAUUGAUAUUUCCUCACUGUUUGACUCUAUACUUGAACUCAGUCAUGAUAUAUUUCACUGUUUUCAUACUCAGCCAUGUAUUCCAUGUUUUAACACUUAUAUGAUCUUUUAAAUGAUAAUUGGGCUGGAAUCAUGUUUUACUACUAUCGAGUGGCUGGUGAGAAUUUUUGACAGAGUAAGGCCGAGGGCCUAUAUUGUGAGGAAACACUGAUCAUGAAUUAAGACUGAGGGCCUGAGAUAUGUACGCCGCGAGGUGGCUUGUUGAUAUGAGGCCGAGAGCCUAGUGAUGAUGCCACGAGAUGGCUUGAUAUUGCGCUUGGGCCAUAAAGGGCCCCUCUAGAAGUCUGCACACCCCAGUGAGUGCGGGUACCCAUUAUGAUGUGAGAUAUAGCCCGAGGGGCUGGUAUUGUUCUGAUAUAUUGCCCGAGGGGCGGAUUUGUUGAUACUGUGCCCGAGAGGCGAACCUUUAUGUGUUUGUUUUUCUUAAUUGCAUGUCAUUUACCUGCUUAAUUGUUGAAAAAGGUUUUCAUGAAGUUUAACUUGAGCUAAAUGGCUUUCACGUAUCUUUUACUUAUUCUACUGCUUUCACUGGUCUCAUUGCUUCAUUAUAGUCUGCAAAUGUGCCUUACGUGAUUUUCUGUUUUUAGUCUUUAUUUAUGAUUAUUACUCACUGAGUUGGAGUACUCACUUUACUCCCUGCACCCCGUGUGUAGAUUCAGGCGCAUCUUGUCCCGCUCCCUAGUGUUGAUCUUUCCAACUCAAGCGGAUCCGAGGAGUCUCUAGGUAGCUGUCGGCGUUCGUAGCCCGGAACUUCUUAUCUAUCUUAUUUCUCCUUGUUCUUAGUUUUUGUAUUAAACUUUGUAGAUUUCUUUGAGUAUUCCGAAUUUUUAGAUGCUAAUGACUAGUGACAUCCCGG
rnacentral:lncRNA from 1 species